rnacentral:rRNA from 1 species
UACGUAGGGGGCGAGCGUUGUCCGGAGUUACUGGGCGUAAAGCGCACGCAGGCGGUCUGCUAAGUUUGGAGUGACAGUUGGUGGCUUAACUGCCAAAGUGCUUCGAAAACUGACAGACUUGAGGGCUUCAGAGGGACACGGAAUUCCGGGUGGAGUGGUGAAAUGCGUAGAGAUCGGGAAGAACACCAGUGGCGAAGGCGGCCGGCUGGGGGUGCCCUGACGCUGAGGCGCGAGAGCGUGGGGAGCGAACCGG